AUGGAAAAUAGAAAUACUUUUUCUUGGGUAAAGGAACAGAUAACUCGAUCGAUUUCUGUAGCGAUCAUGAUAUACGUAAUAACUCGGACAUCUAUUUCAAAUGCAUAUCCCAUUUUUGCGCAGCAGGGUUAUGAAAACACACGAGAAGCAACUGGACGAAUUGUAUGUGCCAAUUGCCAUUUAGCUAGCAAGCCCGUCGAUAUUGAAGUUCCCCAAGCUGUGCUUCCCGAUACUGUAUUUGAAGCAGUUCUUCGAAUUCCUUAUGAUAUGCAAUUGAAACAAGUUCUUGCUAAUGGAAAAAGGGAGGGUUGA
rnacentral:rRNA from 1 species